UACGAAGGGGGCUAGCGUUGCUCGGAAUCACUGGGCGUAAAGGGCGCGUAGGCGGCCAUUCAAGUCGGAGGGGAAAGCCCAAGGCUCAACCUUGGAACUGCCUUUGAUACUGUUUGGCUUGAGACCGGUAGAGGUAAGUGGAACUGCGAGUGUAGAGGUGAAAUUCGUAGAUAUUCGCAAGAACACCAGUGGCGAAGGCGGCUUACUGGACCGGUUCUGACGCUGAGGCGCGAAAGCGUGGGGAGCAAACAGG
rnacentral:rRNA from 1 species